rnacentral:lncRNA from 10 species
AACGGGGUUUCGCAGCGUUCAUGAACCUUUAAUUCAUUAUGAACCUAGAGGCAGGGACAUUAGGCAAAAAAUACAGCGUAUCCUUCAUCUCGGGUGGGGAAAAACCAGGGCACUGGGUUUUGCCGCGUCUUUGCACAGAGUAAGACACAGAGAUACCUUCGUGGGGAGAGUGUGCAGCUCCGGCCUGCCCUUCUGUGGCCCAUCUGCGCAGGCCGCCCAGGAGCCCACCAGGGGAUGGGUGUGACCCCCAAGGGACAAGGGCAGCAGGGGCACCCGCCCGCUUCUUUACAAUAUAAAUAGCAUUUUCAAACAACAUAAGAAUACAGUGUCAGCGCCACGCCGGGCGAGGGCUGCGUGCAGAGGGACACCUCCACGUUUUGGCUGACACCCCCCAACCUCCCCGACCCCGGCCCUCUCCAGGGCAACCGCCCCCCUCCCCCACCAAGGAAAUGAAAGGCUUGCUCCUGCGUAACACUCUCUCUGUUUUCCUUAGUCCUCUCUAGCCCGGGGACUGUUAGGACACUCUUUUAUAAUAUAAACAUUGCUUUUUUUUUUUUUUGGAGACAGGGUCUCGCUCUGUUGCCCAGGCUGGAGUGCAGUGGUGCAAUCUGAGCUGACUGCAGCCUCAACCUCCUGGACUCAAGCAAUCCUCCCACCACAGCCUCCCGAGUAGUAGGAGGAUUGCUUGAUCUCAGGAGGUCAAGGCUGCAGUUCCAGUGAGCCAAGAUCACGCCACUGCACUCCAGUCUGGCAACAGAGCGAGACUGUCUCAAAAAAAAAAAAAAAAAA